rnacentral:rRNA from 1 species
GGGUUGUGAGGUUAAGCGACUAAGCGUACACGGUGGAUGCCCUGGCAGUCAGAGGCGAUGAAGGACGUGCUAAUCUGCGAUAAGCGCCGGUAAGGUGAUAUGAACCGUUAUAACCGGCGAUUUCCGAAUGGGGAAACCCAGUGUGAUUCGUCACACUAUCAUUAACUGAAUCCAUAGGUUAAUGAGGCGAACCGGGGGAACUGAAACAUCUAAGUACCCCGAGGAAAAGAAAUCAACCGAGAUUCCCCCAGUAGCGGCGAGCGAACGGGGAGGAGCCCAGAGCCUGAAUCAGCAUGUGUGUUAGUGGAAGCGUCUGGAAAGGCGCGCGAUACAGGGUGACAGCCCCGUACACAAAAAUGCACAUGCUGUGAGCUCGAUGAGUAGGGCGGGACACGUGGUAUCCUGUCUGAAUAUGGGGGGACCAUCCUCCAAGGCUAAAUACUCCUGACUGACCGAUAGUGAACCAGUACCGUGAGGGAAAGGCGAAAAGAACCCCGGCGAGGGGAGUGAAAAAGAACCUGAAACCGUGUACGUACAAGCAGUGGGAGCACCCUUUGGGGUGUGACUGCGUACCUUUUGUAUAAUGGGUCAGCGACUUAUAUUCUGUAGCAAGGUUAACCGUAUAGGGGAGCCGGAGGGAAACCGAGUCUUAACCGGGCGUUAAGUUGCAGGGUAUAGACCCGAAACCCGGUGAUCUAGCCAUGGGCAGGUUGAAGGUUGGGUAACACUAACUGGAGGACCGAACCGACUAAUGUUGAAAAAUUAGCGGAUGACCUGUGGCUGGGGGUGAAAGGCCAAUCAAACCGGGAGAUAGCUGGUUCUCCCCGAAAGCUAUUUAGGUAGCGCCUCGUGAACUCAUCUCCGGGGGUAGAGCACUGUUUCGGCUAGGGGGCCAUCCCGGCUUACCAACCCGAUGCAAACUGCGAAUACCGGAGAAUGUUAUCACGGGAGACACACGGCGGGUGCUAACGUCCGUCGUGAAGAGG